CUUCCCGGACCGGGGCACGAACCCGUGUCCCCUGCAUCGGCAGGCGGACUCUCAACCACUGCGCCACCAGGGAAGACCCUGUCUUAAAUUUUGUAAUUAUCAAAGAUCACCAUCCCAGUGUCAUCCAAGCUGAAAAAGAACAUCAUCGUGGGUACUGUCACUUUUACAGUGUGUAGAGUAACUUCAAUAAUUUCGUAAGUGAAUUAGUUUUUAAGAGCUCUGUCACAGUAUCCAGAAGAAAUUCUAAUUUCCAGUAUUUUCAAAGCUAAACUUUUUUCAUGGGCAGACUCAGUUUAAAUUCUUUGGAAGAAUGAUUAAUUUGGUAAUAAAAAUUCUUGAUAGUAUUGUCAGCAGAGUUUAGACACAUUAACAUAAAACCCUAGAUAUGCCAUGGAGAAAUUUAACUCAAAGGUCUCUUGGCCAAAGGGCUUGCAUUUACCAAGGACCUACUGGCUAUAGAUCUGCUCCUUUCUGGUAUUUCUCCAAUCAGUUACAGAUACUGCUGCUGGAUCUAUUCGAGGUCCAGUUCUAUUCCUCAUGCCCAUAAAAACUGAAACACUCUUGGAGUCCCUACUGUUCACCAACUGAAAAAUGAACAGCAAACUCUAGAAUUCAACUCUUUACCCAGUGAUACCUUAAAACCUCCUAGUCUUCUUUCCCCUAUCUUUUGCCUCAAGAAAACUAGACUUCUUGUCUUCCUAAAUAUGUCCCUUAUUUUCUCUUCUAGGAGCGCCCGCCCACUUUUCCACUUGCAGAUGAAGUCCUUAUUGUCCCCUCUCUCUCAGGACCCACCCAUCUGAACUGUCAACUCCUUAAUGAAAACUUUUCUCAUCUCCCUAGCUGAUGCCAUUUUUCUGUUCUAAAUACCCAGUGCCCCUUUCUUUGUAUUUCAUCUUACUUGACCCCAUCUUUAUUCUAUUAGUUGUGUAUUUGUUACCAUCCUUAACAAAGCAGAGAAAAUCCCCUUGAAGACAGAUGUUUUAAUUUAGAACCAGUAGCGUAUUAUAUAUGAGAUAUUGUGAUUUAUAAUAAAAUACAGGUAUUUGGUCUUUGUCCCAUUCUGGGCAUGGAGCUCCUAAAACCCUUGGAAGGUCUUAAGUGAUGAGAGUGAUAAAGGUGACUUUUGCAAAGCCCUUAGGUAGCCUAGCGGAGAGGGUGUCACAACCAAAACUCCAGAGGGAGAGAAUCUCUUGUUUGGGAACUUCCUGACCUCACCUUAUGUGUCUGUUCAUUGGGCCGUUCAUUUACAUCUUUUAAUAUCCUUGUAAUAAACUGGUAAUCUAGUAAGUAAACGAGUUUCCAGAUUUCUGUGAGCUGCUCUAGUAAAUUACUCAAACCUGAGUAGGGGGUCAUGGAAACCUCUGAUUUAUAGCCAGUGAGAAGCACAGGUAAAAACCUGGACUUGGCAUUGCCUUCUGAAGUGGGGCCAGUCUUGUGGGACUGAGCAUUUAACCUGUGGGAUCUGACUUUAUCUCCAGGUAGAAGGUGUCGGAACUGAGUUGAAUUUGAGGACACCCAGCUGGUGUUGGAGAAUUGCUUGGUAGUCUGAAAAAAACACCCAUGUUCCUGGAGAUAGGGAGCAUGGGUGAGAGGUGAUAGGAGAUACUGAAAACCAGGCAAAGGAAUUUAAACUUCUUCAAUGGGCAACAGGUAACCAUUCUUGAACACAAGGAGUGACACAAGAGGAAACAUGGCUGAGAGGAAUUAGUGUGAUUAUCUCUACGUGCUGUAUGGUAGACUAAGAGGAAAGAGAAGGCUCUCCAGGAGACUACAGUAGAAUUGCAGCCCAUGGGAAAUUUAACAAGGUGGAGAAAACAAUGUCCCUUUGAAGAGGAAAAGGAAAGAACCCGUGGAGAGUUCAAAGAUGCUGAAAUGGGUCAUGGAAAUGGAUGAGAGGAGGUAGGGAGGAAACAAUGACCUGAAGAAGAACAGAUGCUUGAAGAACCAUAUGUGAACGAUAAUUGGAAAGAGAAAACAGAAGUUCUUUACUCAAUAUAACCAUUCUCUGCUUUGAUUUUAGAGAAGCUUGAAGAUAUACAUUAUUUUGCUUAUCCCUGUUGAACAAAUUACAUUUCUUAAGAUGGAUAUCUGUCCAGAGGACUCAGCUAUUUUAAAAGAUUUUGUAAUCUAAAAAUCAAGUUUUCUGGAAUGAAAUCAGCACCAGACUUAACUUGCACUACAAAAGUUCCGGAAGCUGGAAGUCCAAGAUCAGGGUGCCAGCAUGGUGCGGUGAGGGGCCUCUUCCUAGUCUCAGACUUCUUAUUCUAUCCCUUUUUGGGUCUCUGAGGUCUAUGUGCUCAGAAUCGAAUCACCUCUCAGAUGUGCCACCUCCUAAUAUCGUCACUUUGGGAAUCCGCUUGUCAAUAUAUGAAUUUUUUUUUUCUUUUUGAGGGGGGUGGCACAAACAUUCAGACCAGGGCAGGAAUGUGUUUGUACUUUAUUCCCAGUCAGGGGAAGCCACUGAAGGUUUUCAGCAAGAAGAACAAUGCGACUUAACCUACAUUUUAAAAAAAAACAUCGGUAUCUUCUUUGGUGCUAUGGGCCGCUUGGAUUUUAAACAUGCAAUGUCCAAUUCUGAAAAAGGACGGACUGGUUCAGCUAGGCUGCGCAGACGAGUGUAAGAACUCCCUACGCCUUUAACAUUCAUGCUUCCUAUAGAACCGGGCUGCUACGCAUGACAUGACAUAGUUAACUAAGUACAGGACACGAGGCUCGUCUGAACUGAGGUGUGCUGUUAACUGUAAAAUGCGCACUGGAAUCCCAAGAUUUAGUACCAACAAAUGAAUGUAAAAUGUCUCACUAAAUCUUCUGGCUUGAUUACAUGUUGAAACGAUAAUAUUUUGGAUAUACUGGCUUAAAUAAAAUAUGGCCAUCUUA